CUAAUAAAUAUUUAAUGUAUAGCUUAAUGGUUCGUAUAAAGUAACCUAUCCAAUGCUUUGAUUCUUGAAUAAUGUAUUAAAUAAUAGUGAAGGCAAAGACCUGGAAGAAGAUUGAAAGUAUAUAUAAGUCUACACUGCAAAAGUUUUAUUCUUAAAUAGAGUAGAGGUCUUUGUACAACUUUUAGAACAAAUGGAUAGUGUUUUUCUGAUAAGAAACAAAGAUGACAGAAAUAGAAACUGCUUCUGAAAAGUGUAGUUAUACAGAGCAAACACUAAAUAAAAUGAGUGUGGUUUAUUACAAGUCUGAUAUAUCAGAUUUAAACUUCUACGUGUUAUGAAAAAGAAAAGCCAGUUUCAAAUUUCAUCACUUUCUUAAUGGAUAUGAGUGUAGUUCCUAGAAUGUCAAUAGCCCAAAGCUACCAAGCUAUUGAAUGAGAUAUUAAAAUUUCAUAAUAUUCUUUCUUUAGCAGUAGUUUUACUGUGGCAACCUAUCAUUCAAGAAAAUAUAAAACCAAGCUUUUAAGAAGUGUUUACAAGACCUUAAAUUGUUGAGCCUAAUUUUCAGAUUGUAUCAGAGGUCAAAGUAAUUCAUUGUACCUUCAUCAUCCAGGAAAGCCACCUUUGAGACAAAACACAAGUAGGAGACUAUCAUUAAAACAAAUGUGGCAAUACAUUAUUUUCUACUUCCAAAUUAGCUUAUCUCAUGGUAGUCUUAUCUUUAUACAGGCAUACGUGUAUUUUUUCUAUCUUAUGACAGCCGUAUGCAAUACUAUAAAGAGAAAAUUAUCAUUAAGGAAUGAGAAUGUCCAAGAUUUCUCACCUAUGGAAUGAGGAAGUAGAUAAUCUUUAACACUCUGUUAGUGUCAGCAUUACUGGAAUAAGUGUUUGGUAUUAAGGUGAUCACUGCUAAGGGAAUAACACGUGUGUAUGUUUUAAACACAUUAUUUUAAAAAUUAGUCUCUGAUAUUGCAUAGCUAAAAUAUGUGCCUGUACAACACCUUUACAGUUGUUGAUCUGUUUUCCGACUCAACAGCUCCACAUAAUUGUCUUUAAUUCUAACAUGCUCCUGU
rnacentral:lncRNA from 1 species